rnacentral:rRNA from 1 species
UACGUAGGUGGCAAGCGUUGUCCGGAUUUAUUGGGUUUAAAGGGUGCGUAGGCGGCCCCGUAAGUCAGUGCUGAAAUAUCCCGGCUUAACCGGGAGGGUGGCAUUGAUACUGCAGGGCUUGAGUAAAGUUGAGGUAGGCGGAAUUGACGGUGGUAGCGGUGAAAUGCUUAGAUAUCGUCAAGAACACCGAUAGUGUAGACAGCUUAC